GGAGUUUGGACCGCCUCUCAGUCCCAAUGUGGCCGUUCAACCUCUCAGUCCGGCUACUGAUCGUCGACUUGGUGGGCCGUUACCUCACCAACUAUCUAAUCAGACGCGAGCCCAUCUUUCAGCGAUAAAUCUUUGGUUGCAUGGAGAUGCCUCCUCGCAACGUUAUGCGGUAUUAGCAGUCGUUUCCAACUGUUGUCCCCCUCUGAAAGGCAGGUUGCUCACGUGUUACUCACCCGUCCGCCACUAACUUCAGGAGCAAGCUCCUGUCGUCCGUUCGACUUGCAUGUGUUAGGCGCGCCGCCAGCGUUCGUC
rnacentral:rRNA from 1 species